rnacentral:rRNA from 1 species
UACGAGGGGGGCAAGUGUUGUUCGGAAUCACUGGGCGUAAAGGGAGCGUAGGCGGAUGUUUAAGUCGGGAGUUUAAAACCGGGGCCCAACCCCGGAGCGGCUCCCGAAACUGGGCAUCUUGAAUAGGUCAGAGGCUGGUGGAAUUGGAGGUGUAGCGGUGGAAUGCGUAGAGAUCUCCAAGAACACCUAUUGCGAAGGCAGCCAGCUGGGACCAUAUUGACGCUGAGGCUCGAAAGCAUGGGGAGCAAACGGG